GACAUGAUUCAUUUCAUCCAAACUAAAGAAAAAUCCUUCAUAUGAACAAGAUGAAAAUUAAAGGUUGCCAAAAAAUGAUGCAGGACACUAAAGAAUAUGACUACAAAAAGAAUAAUAACAAUAAGUCUAACAGCCCUGACCAAAACCAUGAACAUUUAUGAACAUUCAGGUUAAGCUUUUUUCCAUGAAAUUACUUCCAACCAUCUAUACAUAUGCCUGCACUUCACAAAGCUCUGCAACAUAAAAAGAAUCAAUCUGCAAACACUCUUGUCUAGCAAGUUCCAAUGAACGGCAAUGUUCUGCACUUCAGUUUGAAUUAGCGGGGCAGUACUUCAGCUACACGAUCAUGUGCAUCAGCUGGAAUUUCCCUACCCGGAACCUGGACCUUAAGAAGAUGAGAGUACUCUGCAAAUGAAAAAAGGUUCUCAUGCUCCGCGAUAAAUGCAAGUAGGGCCUCAAAUGGCAUGUUCAACAGCUCAUAGUACGUCCUAACACGGUCUAAUCUCAAUUGCACAGCUUCACCGUCGAUUGAGGGGAUAGCAGCCAAAGCCUGUUCCAGUGCAAUGGAAUUACGGCAUAUUUGCUGAACUCCAAACAGGUUGAUAGAUUUCAAAUCAGCCAAAGCCUUGAUUGAUCCAUUUGAAGCAACACUAGAUAUACCACCAAAUAUAUAGUUCCGCCUUGAUCCUGCAACGAAGGGUGCCAUUUCCUCAUCCCGGCGUGUUAUCAGGGAAGUUAUUGAAAUUAUAUAAUCAUCUGGCUCCUCUGCAUCUUGAUCGUCCAGGAAUUCCUUACUCGUCAUUUCCUG
rnacentral:misc_RNA from 1 species